AUUGAACGCUGGCGGCAGGCCUAACACAUGCAAGUCGAACGAGUGGCGGACGGGUGAGUAAUGUCUGGGAAACUGCCCGCUGGUGGGGGAUAACUACUGGAAACGGUAGUUAAUACCGCAUACCAUCGGAUGAGCCCAUAUGGGAUUAGCUAGUAGGGGGGGUAACGGCUCACCUGGGCGACGUGGCCUAGCUGGUCUGAGAGGAUGACAAGCCACACUGGAACUGAGACACGGUCCAGACGCCUACGGGAGGCAGCAGUGGGGAAUAUUGCACAAUGGGCGCAAGCCUGAUGCAGCCAUGCCGCGUGUAUGAAGAAGGCCUUAGGGUUGUAAAGUACUUACAGCGGGGAGGCGUUACGCGCAGAAGAAGCACCGGCUAACUCCGUGCCAGCAGCCGCGGUAAUUC
rnacentral:rRNA from 1 species